CCUACGGUAGGCAGCAGUGAGGAAUAUUGGUCAAUGGGCGGAAGCCUGAACCAGCCAAGUAGCGUGCGGGAUGAAGGCCCUACGGGUCGUAAACCGCUUUUGCACGGGGAUAACACCCUCCACUUGUGGAGGUCUGCAGUUACCGUGAGAAUAAGGGCCGGCUAAUUCCGUGCCAGCAGCCGCGGUAAUACGGAAGGCCCGAGCGUUAUCCGGAUUCAUUGGGCUUAAAGGGAGCGUAGGCGGGCGUUCAAGUCAGCUGUAAAAUCGCGCGGCUCAACCGCGCCCCGCAGUUGAAACUGGACGCCUUGAGUUCACAACAGGCAGGCGGAAUUCGUGGUGUAGCGGUGAAAUGCAUAGAUAUCACGAGGAACCCCGAUUGCGAAGGCAGCCUGCCGGGGUGCGACUGACGCUGAGGCUCGAAGGUGCGGGUAUCAAACAGGAUUAGAUACCCCGGUAGUC
rnacentral:rRNA from 1 species